CGGGAAGUACUCAAGAGGCUGAAGAGGCGCCCCUGUUAAGGGGGUAGGUCGCGUAAGCGACGCCAGGGUUCAAAUCCCUCUUUCUCCGCCA
rnacentral:tRNA from 1 species